GGUGAGACAUUAUUUCCGGCUGUGUCUGAGGGUGUUCCCAGUUGAGACAGGCAUUUAACUUAGCUGACUGAGAAAAGCAGACUGCCACCCUCCCCAAUGGGCGGCGGGGGGGGCAUCACUCAGUCCAGUGAGGCUCUAAACAGAACAAAACCGCCAAGGAAGCAAGAAUUCUCUGCCUCAGCCUGACUGCUGAGUUGGUAUAUUGGUCUUCUGCUCUUGGACUGGGACUUACACCAUUGGCACUCCUUCUCUGGCCCUGGAAUGGAACCACACCUCCAUCUUUCAUGGGUCUCCAGCUUGUAGACAGCAGACUGUGGGACUUCUCAGCCUCUAUAAUCACACAUGAAUGCACAUAUCUGUACUACAAGAAGCAAAGGUGUUGUUGCUCUGCCAAUCAACAUCCAAUGCUGGUGCUGCAAAGGAACAAAGGAUGUACGAGAAAUUAGUAUGAUUAACAGCCAAGAAGCCUGAGAGAAUUCUGAAAACUAGAAGCAAAGAUGAAAAGGAAGCACAACAGGUACAGAAGAGAAUGAAGACAUUCUCUGCUUCAAAACUUGUCAGUUUUGCCUACUUGUGAGUGCCACUAAAGGCCUAUGAAACCCUUCCACUGUGUGACACUAAUGUUGUAUGGGGGCCUUAUAUCCAAAGUUCAACAACUGACAGUGAUUGCUCUGGACCAGGAUCUACAUCACCCCACCUCAUGCAUGCCAAAAGUAUUCUCACAGACUCACACAACUAAGAAUGAAGGUAGAGUGGUGGACUGGGAAGAACAUCAAAUUCAUAGUCUUACAAUGAUUUAUUAGAAGU